GACGAACGCUGGCGGCGUGCUUAACACAUGCAAGUCGAACGGAAAGGCCCUGCUUUUGUGGGGUGCUCGAUUGGCGAACGUGUGUGUAACACGUGUGUAACCUGCCCUUGACUUUGUGAUAACUUCUGGAAACUGGGGCUAAUACCCGAUAGGAUCUCCUGCUGCAUGGUGUGGUUUGGAAAGUUUCGGCGGUUGGGGAUGGACUCGCGGCUUAUCAGCUUGUUUGUGGGGUAGUGGCUUACCAAGGCUUUGACGGGUAGCCGGCCUGAGAGGGUUACCGGCGACAUUGGGACUGAGAGACGGCCCAGAAGCCAACGGGAGGCAGCAGUGGGGAAUAGUGCACAAUGGGCGGAAGCCUGAUGCAGCAACGCAGCGUGCGGGAUGACGGCCUUCGGGUUGUAAACAGCUUUAGCAUGUGACGAAGAGAGAGUGACGGUAAUGGGUAAAGAAGCACCGGCUAACUACGUG
rnacentral:rRNA from 1 species